ensembl:lncRNA
AGGGUGUUGGUAAAAUUCAAGGAAUCCAGAACUAUGUUAGGAAAUAAUUAUACUGUCACUGAGAGAAGUCGACAAACAGCAGCUGGGAACAAAGUCAUGAAGUUCCAAAGAACCUUCUGAUGCCAGCUGAAAUCGAUGAACGAGUUAUUGCUGAGUUCAGAAGAUCCUGAAUCCUAAAAUGCCAGAUCAAAGAAAAUGAAGACUCUGUGUAGGAACGUACUGCACGUUAAAGUUUUUCAGUCUAAGAAAUGAUUGAUCUAAUGACGCAGCCGCUUCCUGUGCCAACAAACCCCACCGCUGCCGGAUCCUGUCUGGGGAGAGAGACACAGAUACGAAUGCCAUGGAGUCAGCUCUCAGUCUAUUAUCUUUAGCUACAUAGAUUUAUAGUCCAGAAGAAUUCUACACGCAUGCGUACCCAUUCAUCCAUCGCACAAUCCCAUGCACCCACGUGCCGACCCUCCCCCCUAAGUAGCGAAUCAUUCAAGAUGUUUUUCUACUGUCUUCAGCUUGUUGUGCAGCAAACUUGUUGUGCAGCAGAGUUCCGCUGCAGCGUCCUUGACCAUAUCUCCAACAAUCUAAUGAUAACAGACAUAAGUAAAGCUUAUUGACACAGAGAUACAGCAUAAAGACAUGGAUACAACCCACGUGUGUGGUGUAAUGUUUAGUGUAUAAUUUAUUUAUUGGAGAAAAACAAUAAGGUAAUUUUAUUAAAGCAGUUGUGAGAAGGAAAUCUCUAGCUCUUAUGUUAAUGCAAAAAUUCUAUAGUGAUGGGAAUUGGGGUCAGAUUAUAAUUAUUAAGAUGGCACUUCAGAUAUGUCUAGCACAUUGCUAGAUGCUGAAUGGAAGUUUCUUUCAUAGCAGUUUAUUUUACAAGCUAAUGCUGCAUAUGCAUAUCAUGGAAUUACACAAUUAGUUAUACUUAAUGAAGAAUAGCAUGAGGCAACCCAAUUGGUUUUGUGAUAAUUUGUCCAGAAGAUGACUGAAGAGUUCUUUGUGCAUUUCUAUGUGUCAACUUUUGGAAAUGGUUGAUUUUGUUGUCAUUCAUUUACAGAAAAACGGUAAUCUUUCUGGUGGAUCUGGAAUGGUUCUUCCACAUUUAAUAUGACAGUUUUGUGAGAUAUCUGUACACCUUUGCCUAUUUAAAUUUUAGGUAUAUAAGUAUACUUUGAUGUAGAUGGUUUACAUUUCUGAUCACUUGAUACAAGUCUACCCUUUUUCUAAAACAGAGAAUUAGUAUUUAUAAAGCACUAACUGUCUGCAGACAAGGACUUUCUUGGGUGACAAGAUUAAAGUUGCAUUGAAAU